rnacentral:rRNA from 1 species
AACGAACGCUGGCGGCAUGCCUAACACAUGCAAGUCGAACGAGACCUUCGGGUCUAGUUGCGCACGUGGGCGGGACGCGUGGGAACCUGCCCGUAGGUUCCGAAUAACUCCCCUAAGGGGGUGCUAAUGACGGUUGAUGUCUUCGGACCAAAGAUUUAUCGCCGUUGGGUGGGGGCGCGUUAGUUUAGCUGGUUGGUAGGGUAAAAGCGUACCAAGGACACGAUGCUUAGCUGGUCUGGGAGGAUGAUCCGCUACACUGGGAAUGAGGCACGGACCAGAAUGGUACGGGAGGGAGCAGUGGGGAAUACUGGACAAUGGGCGAAGGCCUGACAACGCCACGCCGGGUGAGUGAUGAAGGCCGUAGGGUUGUAAAGCUCUUUUACCCGGGAUGAUAAUGACAGUACCGGGAGAAUAAGCUCCGGCUAACUCCGUG